rnacentral:rRNA from 1 species
AUGGCCUGCGGCGAUGAUUUCCACGCCAUCAAAUACCUCCCACUCAAGCUUAAAGGACCAGCUCGGCAUUGGCUUAACAGCUUGCCAACAGGAUCAAUCAGUUGUUGGGAGGACCUGGAAGCCGCAUUCCUUGACAAUUUCCAGGGCACUUAUGUGCGACCCCCAGACGCCGAUGACCUAAGUCACGUAAUUCAGCAGCCAGAUGAAUCGGCCAGGCAAUUCUGGACACGGUUCCUAAUAAGGAAAAAUCAAAUAGUCGACUGUCCGGACGCUGAGGCCCUAGCAGCCUUCAAGCACAAUAUCUAUGACGAGUGGCUGGCCCGGCACCUUGGACAGGAAAAGCCGAAAUCUAUGGCAGCACUCACGACACUCAUGACCCACUUUUGCGCGGGAGAAGACAGUUGGCUUGCUCGUAGCAACAAUAUAACCAAGAACCCUGGUAAUUCAGACACCAGGGACAGUAGUGGUAGGUCGCGUCGCAACAAACAGAAGCGCCGCAUUAACGGCAAUAAUGCAGAUGAUACGUCAGUUAAUGCCGGAUUCAGAGGCUCUAAAUCCGGUCAGCGGAAAAUGCCAUUCAAAAGGAAUCCUAGGGGCCCGUCCAGUUUGGACUGA